rnacentral:lncRNA from 1 species
UCUAUAUUAAUCAAGAGGAGACAUUAACUUUACUGCUGACGCAAAACUGUAUUCAGCUAGAUCCACAAUAUGAAAAUGUAUAAGCUCAACAUCAAAUUAUUUACAUCUUCUCUUUUUUAACUUAAUUAGAGUUUUAGCUCCUGUGCCUCAUUUUUUACAAUGUAUGAGAAUCUAGAUGUUUAGCUAACAUCUUUUCUUUUUGGGGGGAAAGGGUAGAAGGAGGGAAUAAAGGUGCCAUUCUUUUUGGGAGAUACAUGAUUUUAAAAUAAUACCCAAAGUCUAAUAUUUUGGCUAAAAAGACUGUUACAUAGCUCAUUUUAACUAUUGUGCUUGAACCUGGAAAGAAUGUUUCUUUUUUUGUCCCUAAGAAAUGGGUAUAAAUGAAGUUUGACAGGAAAUUUAAAGCUACCAAAGCUUUGAAAAUGUUGCCAAGCAUUAGAUUGCCUAUAAAGAAGGUAAAAGGUGGAAAGUCUUACUAAAAAUCUAGAAGCAGUAGUCGAGACAACAAAAAAACUCAUCCUCUUCAAAGUUCAUAUUCCCUGAAUUAUUUACUUAGAAGCAUUAAACAGUCUCUUUUCUCCUGAGGCAAGGGUGUGUAUUCGACUCUGUGAUUGAGAUCCAAGGAAUAUUGGCACUCAUUUUAGGUAACAAUAUUUUGUUACCAGAUUUUGCUGAAUUCAAAGCAUUCUUGAAAAUGUGCGAGAUUUUUCUAUAGUAAAUAUAAAUGCGUUUAUCUGUGAUAUCCUGCAAUUAUUAUAAUAAUUUUGGUUAAACAUUUGUGGCAGUUUUUCCAAGGUCUUUGUUUUCAAGUCUUGAUGCCUGUGGUGAAUUAUUAGUUAAGAUAUUUCAAAAAUAAAAUAAAUUUAGACUUUAGAGCCACAAUAAAGCUGAGCUAGGUUCCUAUUCUGUAUAAUCAGCAACACACAGAAACUCCAAAUCUUGAUUGUUUUGUUGGACCCGUGAAUUCUAUUGGGAAAUAUUUGUUCUUCAAGGCAACCUCAUAAUUCACAUUAGCUAGAAAGGUAGGUGGUAUUUUGUACAUUAAUUUAGUGUAUAACCAGGACAAAUUUCAUUCUGAAUUGCUUUGCUAAAUCAUCACAGAGCUGAGCUCUCCCAUGGUCAGGGAACUCCUUCCAACACCAAGUCAUAAGCACAUAAAGACCCGUUCCUCUAAGCUGUGACCUUUCAUCUGGCUAAGGAGUGGGAAGUCAGCCAUGGACUUUGUGUCGUGGAGUUAACCUCAUGUUCAUGACUUUUCCUCCAUAGAGAAAUAUUCAUUUAUACAUCCAGAAACAAGAAGAAAGGGCAGAGAAUGUCUUGCUUUAUGUUUUUGUAUUGAUAGUGAUGAGAGCUGCCAUUUUUGAGCCAGCAUGCAUGCCAGCACUGUGCUAAGUGACUUACAUGGAUCACAUAUGUAAGUCAUAGUUACUAAUCUUAAAAAAAAAGAAAAAAAAAAUAGGAAAACACAGAUAAGGAUAAAGAAAACAAAAUACGUACUCGUAAGUCUUCUAGCCAAAGAUAACUACUGUUAACAUUUUGGCAAAUAUUUCUUCAGACAUAUUGCAGUACUUACAUAUUUAUUUCUAUAUAUAUUAAUAUUUUCAGCAACUUUGAAAAGGUGAGUUAUCUUUAUUUUAUGGUCAGGUCAAGAUAAGUCAAUUAGGUCAUAGCUAAAGAAAUGGUAGUCUGUCAUUUCAUUCCAGAGUUUUUUUCUAUUUAAGUUUCUCAGUACCAGCUCAUCAUUAAUUUCCAGUGGUUUGAUCCAGAGCUGGGGACACAGUGUCUUAACAUCUCUGAAGGAUGUCUGAUCAAAAGGAAUGCUGAGUAAUCUUCCAUGGUGGCAGCAUGUCCUCUAGUCCUCUCCCACACCCAUACAUUUGGAGCCACAGAGCCUCUUUCUCCCAGUUCUCUUUACAAAACCUUCCUGUUCGCCUUAUUCUAUAGUUAGUCCUUACGGCAUCAGACAGCCUACUUUAAGGGAACUCUUAAACUCUAAUGUUUAAAAAAAGGUCUCUGUAAAACACUUAAAAUGUUAUGGUGCAUUUAAUUUUUAAUUGACGUAGUUUCUAAAUUUUUGAUAUGUUUCUGACAGCACAGUAAGUUUGUCUUAAGGAAGAAGAGUAGUCAGUAUGCACUGUGAAAGCAGAACUAGAAAAUGUCAGUUCCCUAUCUGUGUUUAUUAAGGUACUAAAAUGAAAAUCUUUGUCCUGCUUAAUCAUAUUGCAUCUUCAUUUAGAAAAACACAAAUUGGGAAUGUGAAUUAUUUUUAUUUAUUUAUAUUUUUCUGUGAUAACUCAAGCCAAAUAGGAGCAUUGUGACUUUUAGUUUCAGAAAACUGUUUUCUGAAUGAUGGCUUGGUAGAAGCCUAGCCAAAUUACAGUAUCAGUCUUUGUUUGUUUGUUUGUUUGAACAGAGACAGGGUCUUGCUCUGUCACCCAGGCUGGAGUGCAGAGGUGCAGUCAUAGCUCACUGUCAACCUCAAACUCCAGGGCUCAAGAGAUCCUCCCACCUCAGCCUCCCAAAUAGCUGGAACUACAAGUGCACACCAUCACACUUGGCUAAUUUUUUGUAGAGAUGGGGUCUCACUGUGUUGCCCAGGCUGG